UGUACAAUCACUUCCCAUUCCGUGGAGCAAAGAAACAGAAUCUGGGACACCACAGGAUAGGCAGACUUGUGAGCAGGCCUCUUAGCCUGGCCCUGGUGUCAAAGAGCAGGUGCUCAGGUGUGAGACAUUUCUGAAGCAACACCUUGGCAGAAUGGUUCCGUUCACUUCUUUGUUUAAAAAGAGGUACUUUCCACUGGUGUUUUAUUACGGAAAGCUGACUACGAAAGAAUAAGUGACCCCUCCUCUUGGGUGGGGUCAAGAAAUGCAUUUGGGCAGGACAUUCAGAAUUGUGUCCUCUCCGGUGACAGCAGG